UGGGUUGUAAACUUCUUUUAUAUGGGAAUAAAGUGAGCCACGUGUGGCUUUUUGUAUGUACCAUACGAAUAAGGAUCGGCUAACUCCGUGCCAGCAGCCGCGGUAAUACGGAGGAUCCGAGCGUUAUCCGGAUUUAUUGGGUUUAAAGGGAGCGUAGGCGGACUAUUAAGUCAGCUGUGAAAGUUUGCGGCUCAACCGUAAAAUUGCAGUUGAUACUGGUCGUCUUGAGUGCAGUAGAGGUAGGCGGAAUUCGUGGUGUAGCGGUGAAAUGCUUAGAUAUCACGAAGAACUCCGAUUGCGAAGGCAGCUUACUGGACUGUAACUGACGCUGAUGCUCGAAAGUGUGGGUAUCAAACAGGAUUAGAUACCCUGGUAGUCCACACAGUAAACGAUGAAUACUCGCUGUUUGCGAUAUACGGCAAGCGGCCAAGCGAAAGCAUUAAGUAUUCCACCUGGGGAGUACGCCGGCAACGGUGAAACUCAAG
rnacentral:rRNA from 1 species